ACCUCUUCGGAGGUCAGCGGCGGACGGGUGAGGAACACGUGGGUAAUCUGCCUUUCAGACUGGAAUAACGCCCGGAAACGGGCGCUAAUGCCGGAUACGCCCGAUGGGAGGCAUCUUUUGUCGGGGAAAGGGCCAACCGGUCCGCUGAGAGAGGAGCCCGCGGCGCAUUAGCUCGUUGGCGGGGUAACGGCCCACCAAGGCGACGAUGCGUAGCCGGCCUGAGAGGGUGAACGGCCACACUGGGACUGAGACACGGCCCAUACUCCUACGGGAGGCAGCAGUAGGGAAUCUUCCGCAAUGGGCGCAAGCCUGACGGAGCAACGCCGCGUGAGCGAAGAAGGCCUUCGGGUUGUAAAGCUCUGUUGCUCGGGGAGAGUGGCGCGGGGAGGGGAAAGCCCUGCGCGAGACGGUACCGAGUGAGGAAGCCCCGGCUAACUACGUGCCAGCAGCCGCGGUAAAACGUAGGGGGCGAGCGUUGUCCGGAAUCACUGGGCGUAAAGGGUGCGUAGGCGGUCGAGCAAGUCUGGAGUGAAAGUCCGUGGCUCAACCAUGGGAUGGCUCUGGAAACUGCUUGACUUGAGUGCUGGAGAGGCAAGGGGAAUUCCACGUGUAGCGGUGAAAUGCGUAGAGAUGUGGAGGAAUACCAGUGGCGAAGGCGCCUUGCUGGACA
rnacentral:rRNA from 1 species